rnacentral:lncRNA from 1 species
AGAUACAGGGAUACAUGUGCAGGUUUGUUACAUGGGAAGAUUGCGUGAUGCUGAGGUUUGGAGUAUGGAUCCCACCACCCGGGUAGUGAGCAUAAUAUCUGGUCCUCCAGGAUUCUGUGGACAUCUCUUCCUGUGGAAAGCUUAGAGAAGGAACAUUAGUGGGGUGCUGUAAGAAAACUGCCCAUGGCUCCUUUCCCAGCAUAAUAAGAGAGCCCCACCUGGAAGACUCUAGGUUCUCAUCUUCAUGCCCCGAUGUAAGGAGAGUGGUCCUUCUGUACAUCAGGAGUCUGAAAUGCAUCUCACUGGGCUAAAAUCAAGAUCUGUGGCACAUGGAACCACAUGUGGGACAAGAGACUAAUAAAGAUGUGACCUACUCACAGAGGCUUCAGGUGUUUUGCGAAGUACAUUGGCUUUUAUUCAACGUGCAGUGGGACUCCAACUAAAGUGUUUCAGGAAGGCACGGCCCUUUUGUGAUCUCCUGGUUCUUGUAAAUCUCACUGUGGCUGAUGAGGUCUGGAUAGAUAAUCAUGAUGGUGGCUGAAGAGAGACAAUGGUGGUGCUAGGUUACCAGUGGCGUGGAGCUCAGAGCUAAUGCAGAGCAGCUGGAGCAGUGCUGAGUUUCAAAACGUGUUGGAAAAAAUAUUAUAUGAAUGAUGCUAUUUUUUUCACUGAAUCACAUCAAGAAGCACAUGAUGUUAAGCUGUCUCAUCAUUGGUGGUGUUAACUUGGAUCGCUUGAUUAAGGUGAUGCCUUUCAUAUUUAUAUACUACAAAGUUAGCCCUUUUUAAUCAAUAAGUAAUCUAUUCAGAGAUAAAUGAGAACUGCAUAAAUAUCUUGGUAACAAACAAGUUUUACCCAAUAUUGUUUUCCUCCAUUGAUGAUUCUUGCCUUAAUCAAUUAUUACCAUGACAGUAGCAAAAUAGUGAUAUUUUAGUUAUCAUUUCUUGUACAUGUAUUAGUUUUACAUAGUAAACAAAAGCGUUUCCUCCUCUCAUUUUCUCUUUCUCUCCCUUCUUUCCAUCCAUUCUUCCUUCCUUUCUAUUUCUGUCUGUCUCUGUCUCUGUCUCUGUGCCUCUCUGUCUCCUUUGCCCUUCUCAUUGUCCGUUUUUAUUUAUAUUUCUUAAUGUGUGGAUUCAUAAACUAUUCUUUUCAAUUGCAUUAUAAUCUGUUACUGUCAUUUUUUAUUGUACCAGAUUUAGCGAGUAUGAGCUAACAAUUUCUAAUUUUAAUCCAACAUUUUAAAUCACAUGGUCUUCUUCAUCUUCUCUGUUUACAUAUUCGUAUUUACUUCCUUUCACAAUCAUAAUCUUGCCUCCCUCCCCCAAAGGAAUAUAUUUUCUUCUAUGGGACACCAAAGAUAAUAGAUUUUAAUUUAGUUUUAGAGUUUUCCAAAAUGUUUGUUGAUUUAAUUUUAUUUUUGAUUAUGUAUUAAUUGAACAUGCUUCCAGUUUUCAAAAUUAUAUGAAAUGAUAUAUACAGAGAAUUGCCACUCAAUCUUCUCUUCUUCCCAUAUUAUUGUCACUUCUUGCCUGUGGUUAACCAAUUUCACUGGAUUCUGGUUAUCCUUGCGUUUAUUUUUUAAAAUAUGUAAGUUAUAUGUUAUUAUAUAUGUUUUUCCCUUAAAAUUUUUCCUGAUAAUCCAUAUCGGGCCAUAGAGAUCUCCUUUAUUACUUCCUGCAUAGUAAUCCAUUGUGUAUAUAUAUUAGGUUGGUGCAAAAGUCGUUGCAGUUUUUGCAAUUACUUUUAAUGGCAAAAACUGCAAUUACUUUUGCACCAACAUACAUCGUUUAGCCCGAGAACUACUCACUCUGGGUCUCCUCUCCACUGAGGGCUGCACACAUGCCGGGAUGACCUGCCUGUGGAAAGGAGCUACAACUUCAGGUCUCCUGAGAGCUGUAGGUAGGUUAGUUUUGCAUCGUUGAUUUAAGCAAUUUUCUAUGUAUGGGCGUUUACAUGGUAUCCAAUAAUUUGUUAUAUAACACAUAAUAUCCCAAUGCAUGAAGGCACAAAUAUGUAUUUUCUUGCUGUUGGUGGUGUAUGUUGGGGGUGAAUUCCUAAAGUGAUAUUGUUUGGUCAAAAGUUAAAUGUAUAUGUAGUUUUGGGUUACUAUUGGUAACUUUCCUUCCAUAGGAUUUGUACCAUUUUGCUUUCCCAUUAGCAAUGUGUAGGAAUGCCUGUUUCCCUGUAGCCUCCCCAACAGCUUGUGUUAUCAAGAUUUUGGAUAUUUAACAAACUUGAAGAGCCAGAUUACAAAUUACCCCACAUUUUCUUCUAAUGCAUGUGAUGGCAGCAGCGGCCAAAUAGAGUAGCUGCUGCAAAGGUGCUAGCUGCAGUGGGGUAUGCAUGACUGGGACGGCUAACUCCGCGGAGCUGGCAGGAGCUGGGAACAGGCGGGAGCUCCACCCCCUUCCAAGUGGGUGGGGCAUGAGCUUUGUGCUUCUGGGUGCAACUGCAGCUGCCCAGCCACGACUGCGGACCCAGGCAUCCCUGUGGUCUUGGGGGCCCAGGAAGUCUCCCUGCCCCCGCAGGCUCAGAAGGGCCUCCUCCUGCUGCCUGGCCUCUCUCCACUCCCAGCAUCCACUCUGAUUUUGGAGGAAAGUUGUGGCCGAGCUCGGGCUCUGUCACGACCCGGCUGGGUGUGCGCACACUCAAGGCAGCACUGACAUGCCAGCCCCUUGCCGCCUCGGCCCCACUCCGUAAUUGGGACACUGACAAACAUGGGAGGGAGGUCAAGAGGGGGCUGAGGGCGGCUUUGUGUGAGCCUGCAGGCACCCCUUGGCACGAACAGCCUGGGCACCAUGAAUGGCAGCAGUAGGCAGACAGGCUCCUGGGCAGAAAGGGGCACGUCCCUGGUGAAACCCCACCUUCAAGCCAGGGAGGGCCUGAAGCCUGGGGGCUGGGCUGCCAGUUGCACAGACCAGAGUGAGAACUUAUGGUGCUUUUUCUGGGCCCGCCCAUGGCCACCCGUAGACCAAUCAGCACACUCUUCCUCCCCUGUGAAACCCAUAAAAACCCUCAGAGUCACCCAGAAUUGGACAGAUGACAAGACAACCGGACUGCAGGGAGGAGCUACCCAUUCAAGGUCUCCUCUCCAAUGAGGGUUGCAGAGAUGUUGGGGCAAUUUGCCUGCAGAUAGGAGCUACCCACUUGGGAUCUCCUCUCUGCCGAGGACUACACACUUGAUGGGAUGACCUGCUUGUGGAGAAGAGCUACCCACUGUGGGUCUCCUCUCAGCUGAGGGUUGCACAGAUGCCCAGACCACAUGCCUGUGGAAAGGGGAUACCCACUUUGGGUCUCCUGAGAGCUGUACUGCCACUCAAUAAAGCACUGCUUCACCUUGCUCACCCUCCAGUUGUCUGCAUACCUCAUUUUUCCUGGAUAUGGGACAAGAACUUGGGACCAGACAGACAAAUGGCAGGACUAAAAGAGCUGUAACACAAACAGGGCUGUAACCCCCACCCCAACACCACUGGCCACAUUGUGGGUGACGAGAAGGAAAGAAGUAGAGAAGAGCUGCAGUUCUUUGGGGAUUGCAAACCUAGGAGCUCCCUGAGCCAGGGCUGUGAAACCUUCUUUAGGGCUCUGCAUUUCCGGGCAUCAUCUCCAAGCUUCCAGGUGCCACCGCAUUCCCUGGUUCCUGAGGCAGAAGCUACUUGUGAUACACUUGGUCUAGCUACAGCCUUGCAGGGAGCCGGAGCCUGUGCCAGUGCCUGGAGCUGCCCACCCCACCACAGCCAGCGUGCCUGGCCGUGCGCGGUGGCCGGACCCCACUUUUGCUUCUUCACACACCCCUCACCACUCUGCGCUUGGCCCAACCUUGGCAGGCAUGGGAUCCGGGUGGUAGCGAAAGCCGAGUGCAGCCUGUCAGGCCCACUGGGUGGAACAGGCUCAGCAGGCCCAAGCAAAACUUGGGCAAAGGUGCCACUGGCCAUAGAGGUUGCUGGCUGGUGAAGCAACACCCUAAGGAACCUGGGAAACAUGUAUGGCUACAUUUAUAUUUUACACUCAGAAUUCUAAUUCAUUUGGAUUUUUUUUUUUUUCUGUGUAGAGGGAAAAGUGUGAAUCCAUUUUUAUCAUUAUCUAAAUGACUGUUCAGUUGUUCCAACAUGCUUUGAUAAAAUGUCCAUAUUUGUCUCUGUGAUUUGAAAUGACUACCUUUAUCGUGUAGUAAAUUUUACUAUGUUCUUGGCUGUUGUAUUUUCUAUUAUAUUCCACUGGUCUGUUAUUUCUUUACCAGUAUAAAUAACAUGGAUUCAAUUGCAGAAACUUUAUAGUAUGUUUUAAAAUCUGGUGGCACUAUUCCUUUCCUGUUGCUCUUAUUUUUAUGGGUUGUCCUACGUGUUCAUGCAUAUUAUUUUUCACAUGAACAACUCCACAAUAGUUGGAGAAAAAAAAUCUUCCUGGUAUUUUAUUAGAGUUGCAUUAAAUUUAUGCAUAAACUAAGAGAUAAGAGAGACAUAACAUCUUGUUGACAUUGACACAUCAUAAUCAAGAACAAGCAAUGUCAUUUCAUUUUUGCACAUCUUCCUUUUUGUCUUCCAGGAGAUGCUAAUCAUUUUCCUUAUAUAGUUUUUAAAUCGUCUUCCCUUAGUAUUACGUAGAUUGUCAUUAUUUUAAAGGCUAAUUCUGACAGCUUCAUUAUUUGGCAUCUUUGUAUUGUGCAUAUUUUUUCUUGAUUUUAGAUCAUUUGAUCUUGAGUCCUAGUGUGUUGGUUA